rnacentral:rRNA from 1 species
GAUGAACGCUGGCGGCGUGCCUAAUACAUGCAAGUCGAACGCAUUGUGGUUGAAAUGAUAUGAAGAACUUGUUCAGAUUUGAUUUUCAACAUUGCAAUGAGUGGCGAACGGGUGAGUAACACGUGGGAAACCUACCUCUUAGCAGGGGAUAACAUUUGGAAACAAAUGCUAAUACCGUAUAAUAAUUAAAACCGCAUGGUUUUAGUUUAAAAGAUGGUCUUGCUAUCACUAAGAGAUGGUCCCGCGGUGUAUUAGUUAGUUGGUGAGGUAAUGGCUCACCAAGACAAUGAUACAUAGCCGAGUUGAGAGACUGACCGGCCACAAUGGGACUGAGACACGGCCCAUACUCCUACGGGAGGCAGCAGUAGGGAAUCUUCCACAAUGGACGAAAGUCUGAUGGAGCAACGCCGCGUGUGUGAUGAAGGUUUCGGCUCGUAAACACUGUUGUAAGAGAAGAAUGAC